UUGACCCCUCCCCCCCGAGAUAUCAAUGGGACUACAUUUCCCAGAAUCCACUAGAAGCUAGGGUGUUUAGCCAUGUUGAAUGUCUGACCUGAGGCUGGGGUCGGAGCUUCCCAGGUUGAGCAGGGCGAGGUUCAGCAGGGUACCCGGCACAUCUUUGGGCCUGAUCUUGGUGUGCUGGGGGAUGGAGUCUGGCUGUGAGAGCUCCCAGCGCGUCCUGAUGUGGAUGAUGGACUGGACGAUGGCAUCACACUCCUGGUGCAUGAAGGUGAGGGGUGUGCCCUGGUUGGCCAUGGUCAGGGUGAACUGGGUCUCGUCCACCAGGCAGAUCUCCUCGAUUUCAGAGGCAUAGUACACAUCAUUGAGGAACACCGACUGACCCAGGACACGGGUACGCUCUGCUGAUGUCACCUGGACGGCCGUGGAGCCCACCUGGGAUAAUAGGGAGGGUUGUUGUUGAGAUAAGUGUGUACAUGUCAACAAUGACAACACAGACCAGUUGUCUCAUGUUGCUACACAAAGCAGGACUCAACAGCCAAUCAAUUCAACCUUCUACUUUCCCUUCGGCAACAAACUAAUCUAUAUAAAUUGAUUGAGGCCCAGAGAAGUAAAAAAUUUUAUUUUCCUGUGUUAUAUAUAAACUCAGCAAAAAAAGAAACAACCUCUCACUGUCAACUGCGUUUGUUUUCAGCAAACUUAACACGUGUAAAUAUUUGUAUGAUCAUAAGAUUCAACAACUGAGACGUAAACUGAACAAGUUCCACAGACAUGUGACUAACAGAAAUGGAAUAAUGUGUCCCUGAACAAAUGGGGGGGGGGUCAAAAUCAAAAGUAACAGUAAAUGCAGCUGGUGGCCACACCAGAUACUAAAUACUGCAUUGCAUCUCCUCAUCAUCAUGGACUGCACCAGAUUUGCCAGUUCUUGCUGUGAGAUGUUACCCCACUCUUCCACCAAAGCACCUGCAAGUUCCCGGACAUUUCUGGGGGGAAUGGCCCAAGACCUUAUCCUCCAAUCCAACAGGUCCCAGACGUGCUCAGUGGGAUUGAGAUCCGGGCUCUUCGAUGGCCAUGGCAGAACACUGACAUUCCUGUCUUGCAGGAAAUCACGCACAGAAUGAGCAGUAUGGCUGUUGGCAUUGUCAUGCUGGAAGAUCAUGUUAGUAUGAGCCUGCAGGAAGGGUACCACAUGAGGGAGGAGGAUGUCUUCCCUCUAGCGCACAGCGUUGAGAUUGCCUGCAAUGACAACAAGCUCAGUCCGUUGAUGCUGUGACACACCGCCCCAGACCAUGACGGACCCUCCACCUCCUUGCAGCAUGCCUAAGGCACGUUCACGCAGAUGAGCAGGGACCCUGGGCAUCUUUCUUUUGGUGUCAGUAGAAAGGCCUCUUUAGCGUCCUAAGUUUUCAUAACUGACCUUAAUUGCCUACCGUCUGUAACUUGUUAAUGUCUUAACGACCGUUCCACAGGUGCAUGUUAAUGAAUUGUUUAUGGUUCACUGAACAAGCAUGGGAAACAGUGUUUAAACUCUUUACAAUAAAGAUCUGUGAAGUUAUUUGGAUUUUUACAAAAUGAUCUUUGAAAGACCAGGUCCUGAAAAAGGGCUGUUUCUUUUUUUUGCUGAGUUUAUAUAAAUAUGUAUAUUUCUACACUGAGGUUGGAAUAACACUGUAAAAUUGUGAAAAUGAUGAAGCCCUUUGAAUGUAAGAGCUGUUUGAAAAGACUACCUGAAAUUUCAGCCUGUUUUGGUGCGACAGAGAUGUGACCUUUCCAUGCUGUAAAUGAGUUAAUAGACCAACAAUAAUUUCAGUUGUUUUCCCCUGCCCACUUGGACCACUCCCAGACAGUUCUAUCAAAAUGAAUGCUGAGAACUUGCCCUUUGCUAAGAACUUUUUUUGACAAUAUACACUGCUCAAAAAAAUAAAGGGAACACUAAAAUAACACAUCCUAGAUCUGAAUUAAUUAAAUAUUCUUAUUAAAUACUUUUUUCUUGACAUAGUUGAAUGUGCUGACAACAAAAUCACACAAAAAUUAUCAAUGGAAAUCAAAUUUAUCAACCCAUGGAGGUCUGGAUUUGGAGUCACACUCAAAAUUAAAGUGGAAAACCACACUAAGGCUGAUCCAACUUUGAUGUAAUGUCCUUAAAACAAGUCCAAAUGAGGCUCAGUAGUGUGUGUGGCCUCCACGUGCCUGUAUGACCUCCCUACAACGCCUGGGCAUGCUCCUGAUGAGGUGGCGGAUGGUCUCCUGAGGGAUCUCCUCCCAGACCUGGACUAAAGCAUCCGCCAAUUCCUGGACAGUCUGUGGUGCAACGUGGUGUUGGUGGAUGGAGCAAGACAUGAUGUCCCAGAUGUGCUCAAUUGGAUUCAGGUCUGGGGAACGGGCGGGCCAGUCCAGUCCAUAGCAUCAAUGCCUUCCUCUUGCAGGAACUGCUGACACACUCCAGCCACAUGAGGUCUAGCAUUGUCUUGCAUUAGGAGGAACCCAGGGCCAACCGCACCAGUAUACGGUCUCACAAGGGGUUUGAGGAUCUCAUCUCGGUACCUAAUGGCAGUCAGGCUACCUCUGGCGAGUACAUGGAGGGCUGUGCCGCCCCCCAAAGAAAUGCCACCCCACACCAUGACUGACCCACCGCCAAACCGGUCAUGCUGGAGGAUGUUGCAGGCAGCAGAACGUUCUCCACGGCAUCUCCAGACUCUGUCACGUCUGUCAGUGUGAACCUGCUUUCAUCUGUGAAGAGCACAGGGCGCCAGUGGCGAAUUUGCCAAUCUUGGUGUUCUCUGGCAAAUGCCAAACGUCCUGCACGGUGUUGGGCUGUAAGCACAACCCCCACCUGUGGACGUUGGGCCCCCAUACCACCCUCAUGGAGUCUGUUUCUGACCGUUUGAGCAGACACAUGCACAUUUGUGGCCUGCUGGAGGUCAUUUUGCAGGGCUCUGGCAGUGCUCCUCCUGCUCCUCCUUGCACAAAGGCGGAGGUAGCGGUCCUGCUGCUGGGUUGUUGCCCUUCUACGGCCUCCUCCACGUCUCCUGGUAGCGCCUCCAUGCUCUGGACACUACGUUGAAAGACACAGCAAACCUUCUUGCCACAGCUCGCAUUGAUGUGCCAUCCUGGAUGAGCUGCACUACCUGAGCCACUUGUGUGGGUUGUAGACUCCGCCUCAUGCUACCACUAGAGUGAAAACACCGCCAGCAUACAAAAAGUGACCAAAACAUCAGCCAGGAAGCAUAGGAACUGAGAAGUGGUCUGUGGUCACCACCUGCAGAAACACUCCUUUAUUGGGGGUGUCUUGCUAAUUGCCUAUAUUUCCACCUGUUGUCUAUUCCAUUUGCACAACAGCAUGUGAAAUGUAUUGUCAAUCAGUGUUGCUUCCUAAGUGGACAGUUUGAUUUCACAGAAGUGUGAUUGACUUGGAGUUACAUUGUGUUGUUUAAGUGUUCCCUUUAUUUUUUUGAGCAGUGUAUGUAUGUUUAUUUUUAAACUUUUACCCCUUUUCUUCCCAAUUUUGUGGUAUCCAAUUGGUAGUUACAGUCUUGUCCCAUCCCUGCAACUUAGGACUCGGGAGAAUCGAAGGUCGAGAGCCAUGCGUCCUCUGAAACACGACCCUAUCAAGCUGCUCUUCUUCUUGACACACUGCUUGCUUAACCCGGAAGCCAGCCUCACCAAUGUGUCAGAGGAAACACAGUACAACUGGAGACCGAAGUCAGCUUACAGGUGGUUAGCCCGCCACAAGGAGUCGCUAGAGCGUGAUGGGACAAGGACAUCCUGGUCGGCCAAACCCUCCCCUAACCCGGACGACAAUGGGCCAAUUGUGCGCCGCCUCAUGGGUUUCCCAGUCACAGCUGGCUGUGUAGUGACGCUUCAAGCACUGCCAUGCAGUGCCUUAGACCGCUGUGCCACUCGGGGGGCCCUUUUUGACCCUUUUAGUUCAAAACAAUCACAGUAAGGUACUUAAUUAUUACCCAGAAAUGAUUUGAUAGAGAUUAAAAUAAACAGCUCCAUUGGACCUUUGAGUAAACAAUUCUCCCUGUUCCCACGUGCCCUUCAUACUACCCAGUUGUCCUUAUAGGCCAGUUUGAAAGUUAGGGUUACACAAGGACCACUGUGCUACUGACCUUGAUGGAGACCUUGGUGUCCUUGUGGGCCAGUUUGAGGGCGUUGUGGAACACCUUGAGGUCCUCUUCCAGGGCCAGCGUGGCCGCUGGGAGUUUCUGCUGCUCUGCCUCUACGUGCUCCGCCAACCGUGCUGGCGAGUCGAUGAACUGCACCCGCUUGCUGCCCUUCAGGCCUGUCAGCAGCCUCUCAUGGUAUUUGGUGUACUCCCUCACCCAUGUGUUGCAGUUGUACACGUAGACCGCCGUCACGUUCUUGUAUGCGAAGCCCGGGAACACCACAAACCACUUGGACAAGAAGUCUGUCUUGAAGCGGUUGCUGGGACCCACGUGGGUCAGGUCCACUAUGAUAUCGUAGGGCUUGGCAUAGUAAGGCUUCAGGGUAAGCAGCACAUGGUAGAUUAGAAGAUCUCCGUUGAUCUGGCCUGUCUUAAACCUGCGGGAAGAGAAGGAAAAGAGAAGUUGAGGAUAGGUCUGAUGGAAGAGGAGGUGGUAGAGGUUGAGGAUAGGUCUGAUGGAAGAGGAGGUGGUAGAGGUUGAGGAUAGGUCUGAUGGAAGAGGAGGUGGUAGAGGUUGAGGAUAGGUCUGAUGGAAGAGGUGGUGGUUAGAAGUUGAGUAUAGGUCUGAUGGAAGAGGAGGUGGUUAGAAGUUGAGGAUAGGUCUGAUGGAAGAGGAGGUGGUAGAUGUUGAGGAUAGGUCUGAUGGAAGAGGUGGUGGUAGAUGUUGAGGAUAGGUCUGAUGGAAGAGGUGGUGGUAGAUGUUGAGGAUAGGUCUGAUGGAAGAGGUGGUGGUAGAUGUUGAGGAUAGGUCUGAUGGAAGGGGAGGUGGUAGAUGUUGAGGAUAGGUCUGAUGGAAGAGGUGGUGGUAGAUGUUGAGGAUAGGUCUGAUGGAAGGGGAGGUGUUAGAGGUUGAGGAUAGGUCUGAUGGAAGAGGAGGUGGUUAGAAGUUGAGGAUAGGUCUGAUGGAAGAGGAGGUAGAAAGUGCACUUCUCUGCCAGCCAGGUCAACCUCUAAAAAGAAAGACCUUUACCGGUUAAAUACAUCCAAAAAGACACAGGUAUUUUCUGGUCUCUUUAAUUUAGAUAGAACAGUCUGACGGUGGAGUCAUACAGGUAAGAAUAUAAAUUCAUCCCAUUCUGAAAGCACUUCAUACACAAUGUUCUUUUUUGUUACAGGCUCGACUGAAAUAGAGAUCUUGGUCUCAGCAUAACCAUUAUUAUACAUGUCAUUUACUGGUAGCUGGCAGUCUCAGACUGAAUUGUAGGCCUAAACUACUUUAAAUACACCCUUCUCUGUCUCUUUCCUCUUGCAGCAUAUGAGACAUCUGUAUGCUGUAGCGGUGGAGGUCCAAGGAGCCUAGAAAUAACUAAGUCAGAAAAAGACCCGAGGGGGGAUAGGAAGUGUGUGCAUCUCAAGAGGCUGGGUCGUAGCAGGUGCUUCCUCUGACAAACACACACGACAGACCGCUCCUUAUACUGACAUCUUCCUAGUCCAGUUAACCUUGUCACUCUUGCUCUUUCUCUCACACACAAGCGCUCUAAGGCUGUGCCCUUGCCCAGGUAAGAGAUGCCCAUACAAUCUCCAACAUACAUUGUAUAAAAAAAAGGAAUGACCAAAUAAUGUGUUUUUGUGAUAAGAUUCAGUUUAUUUUAGUGGACAUCGCAAUGAAAACGACAAAACCAUGAUUUGUAAAAAUGUUUACUAAAAGAGGUCUAGCUUAUUCUGAAAUGUAUUGUAUGCAUCACCUUCCUGAAAGGUAUUGCAUAGAACUAACUUGCUAGAAGUUAUUAUUUAUGGUAAACAAAGUGUAUUGAUCUACUUCAGUAACACAUUGAUUACUUCAUUUUGAGUAAACUGUACUGUGACAGUGAGUGAUAGACUUAACUGGGCUAGUUAGAUAUUUUUUUAAUAAAUCACAUCUUGUUUUAGCAGGUUAAUGAUAAUGGCAGGGAGAAGUAAUCUUUUUAGAAAUGAAUAGAUUUGCGAGACAGUUUUCCAUUAUUUUUUACCUCCCCACAUUAUAAUUGGAAGAGAAAGUGUAAACUAUAACAUAGCCUAUUGCUAGAAAGGUAACUCCAAACACAUUUUCACUAAUAGCAGCUGCUUAUCUGGUUAAACAAAAGUUAGCCAUGUGUUGGCAAAAAUGUCCAAGUCAAGAAAGCCUACCAGCAGCUACGACUGGUACUCACGGGUGCUUUUUCAAAGCCUAUGUCAUAGACUCCAGUGAGUGUAAUGAGCUCCAAUGAGUGUAAUUUGCUCAAUAUUAGGAGUUGAGAAAUAAAGUUAUUAGAAAGAAGAUAUUCUCCUCUUUUUUACAGAACAAAAGAAAAAAAGAAAACGGCACCCUGCAAUAACUCUGCGGACUCCAAGCAAAUAGAAACUGAAGAAUGGAAGGCUCCAGAAUGUCUCUCCAUCUUCUCUUCUUCCUUCUGAUUGGACAAGCUUCACACACCAGCAUUACUCAGCCUCAGACCACUAAUGCCAUAUAUCCAACUGACAUAACCUCAAUUACCCAAGAGGAAAAUGACACCUCCAGCUCUCCCACAAAGGCCACCACGGGCUGCCUCAUCAAGCCCCAGUUGGGCUUCAUAGUGGUGACCUGCGCCGGGGGCCUGGUCCUGUUUCUGCUCGUCUCUACUGUGGUCCUGGCCUCCCAGGUGUGCAGUCUUAGGCGCCAAGCCCGUGCCCCUCGCCCCGCCCGCAGUAACGUGGACCUGGUGAGUGGCGCGGGCUACUGGGACACAGAGCACUCUGAGGGGGGCAUAGUGGGGCCCUGUGAUACCAGUGUCAUGUUGGAGGAGGUCCGUUUGGAUGGAGAAGAGGAUGAAGAGCAGGGGGAAGAAGAGGAGGAGGAAAGGGAGGAGGAGCAGGCAGAAGGGGUCAGAUGCCAAACAGGGGAUGCGAGAACAACUGGCGAAAUAGCCAUGCAGAUGCAGAGUUCCAGCUCCAGGGAUUUGUGUCUGGAAAUCCCCCAGGAUCUAGAGAACAUGCCCCUAGUGGUGUGAGUAGAGCAUUGCAUGCACUCCCUCUCCAGCCUCAGAGAGCCAUGGCCUGGCUCAGAGCUGAACUUCACUCAGGCAUAGAUAUCAACAGGCCAGAUCAGCUCCAGUCUUGUGCCUCAAGUCAAAACAAAGAGUAUUUGUUAUUUUUUUAAUAAGUACUCGAGCUAUAUGUAAUCAAUUUUAGGAGCUUUUACAUAUUUGCUUUGUAAACUGCAUUAAUCUGAUUUGGAAUGAUUUUGUCUCAAAUUUAUUUCUAUAGAGAACAUUUGAAUAGGCUGUUGGGAGCAGCAAGACAUUAAUUUGAAAUAAUGUGCUACGAACAGCACACUACUGCCAACUGCCCAAGUUAAUUAAGCUUACAGCUUACUACGAAGGUUCAGGAUCUUUGUACGGGGGGGGGGGGUCACUUAUAUUUUACAUUUGAGUCAUUUAGCAGACGCUCUUAUCCAGAGUGACUUACAGGAGCAACUAGGGUAAAUUACCUUGCUCAAGGGCAUAUUGACAAAUUAAAAACAGUGACCUUUCGGUUACUGGCCCAAAGCUCUUAACUGCCAAAUUCAAUCAUAUUAGCAGUACACUAUGCCAACUUCCCUUAAUGGCAGAGGUGUAACAAAGUGUAACAAAAAGGUAUUAAGCUUACGUAGAAAGUAUAUUUUGUUGAAGAUUGAAAUGAUAGAAACUCAACUCCAAUAUGUAAUAGAAUGGAAGCCCCCCCCCCAUCUCUAUUGACACUGUAGGCUAAAAGAUUCCUUCUCAGCAAACAAGCACUCAAACAUUGUCUACCAUAUAUAUAACUGAAUGUGGUGGCUUCUCCCCAAGACAUUAAAUGUCAAACAUUGUAUAAUAUAUGUUGUCCAAUCUAAACUGUCCUAUCUACCUGUAUUAAAAAAAUAUAAUAAUAAAACACACUCAAAUAUGCCAACAUGCUUGCUGGUCAGAUGUGAGUUCAGUUAAAAUGAUUACUUUCCACCAACUUGAUGUGAACUUCCUUUCCUUUAUCUGAAGUGAUUCCAUGCACAAAUACUAUACCAAGGGUAAACUUUGAACAUCUUGUUGCCAUCGGUGGCUGGGCACAGAGAUAGCAUUGGGCCUGCCAAGCCUACUUGUUACAUUAAUAAGUCUUCCCCUCAACCUUCACGUGUCAGUCGAGCAGUCACAGAACACCUAACUCAUUUGUUUCCACUCCUCUCUACUAAGGCUAACUUCUUUUCUCUUUUCUGUAAAAAUACAAUAUUUGUUUAAAUGCCACAACCCAAAUAAAUGGAGGUUUUGUGAACAGGUGUGAAUGAAUGGCAUUCUUGUUUUGAAUCGAUGGAGUAAGAACACAAGUGUUUAGACAACAGUUUCAGAA
ensembl:lncRNA